GUGUCAGCCGCCGCGGUAAUACAGACGGUCCAAACGUUAUUCGGAAUCACUGGGCUUAAAGAGUUCGUAGGCGGUCAGGAAAGUGGGGUGUGAAAGCCCUCGGCUUAACCGAGGAAUUGCGCUCCAAACUCCCUGACUUGAGGAGGCUAGAGGUAAGCGGAACUGAUGGUGGAGCGGUGAAAUGCGUUGAUAUCAUCAGGAACACCGGAGGCGAAGGCGGCUUACUGGGGCCUUUCUGACGCUGAGGAACGAAAGCUAGGGGAGCGAACGGGAUUAGAAACCCUUGUAGUCC
rnacentral:rRNA from 1 species